CCUACGGGUGGCAGCAGUGAGGAAUAUUGGUCAAUGGACGAGAGUCUGAACCAGCCAAGUAGCGUGAAGGAUGACUGCCCUAUGGGUUGUAAACUUCUUUUAUAUGGGAAUAAAAUGUUCCACGUGUGGGGUUUUGUAUGUACCAUAUGAAUAAGCAUCGGCUAACUCCGUGCCAGCAGCCGCGGUAAUACGGGGGAUGGGAGCGUUAUCCGGAUUUAUUGGGUUUAAAGGGUGCGUAGGCGGAAGAUUAAGUCAGCGGUAAAAUUGUGAGGCUCAACCUCUAAGGGCCGUUGAAACUGGGUUUCUUGAGUGAGUGAGAGGUAUGCGGAAUGCGUGGUGUAGCGGUGAAAUGCUUAGAUAUCACGCAGAACUCCGAUUGCGAAGGCAGCAUACCGGCGCUCAACUGACGCUCAUGCACGAAAGUGUGGGUAUCGAACAGGAUUAGAUACCCGGGUAGUC
rnacentral:rRNA from 1 species